rnacentral:lncRNA from 1 species
UUGGAGUGGAACUGACCUGCCCCCUUUCUCUCUGUCUCCAUGGCAGCUGGGUGGGCUAUGAACAGGCCAACUGCAAGGGCGAGCAGUUUGUGUUUGAGAAGGGCGAGUACCCUGGCUGGGACCGUGGACCAGCAGCCAGAGGACGGACUCCCUCAGCUCCCUGAGGCCCAUCAAAGUGGACAGCCAAAAGCACAAGAUCAUCCUCUAUGAAAACCCCAACUUCACCGGGAAGAAGAUGGAAAUCAUAGAUGACGACGUACCCAGCUUCCACGCCCACGGCUACCAGGAGAAGGUGUCAUCUGUGCGGGUGCAGAGUGGCACGUGUGGGUUGGCUACCAGUACCCUGGCUACCGCGGACUGCAGUACCUGCUGGAGAAGGAGACUACAAGGACAGCAGCGACUUCAGGGCGUGUCACUCCCAGGUACAGUCCAUGUGCCACAUCCGCGAUAUGCAGUGGUACCAAUGUUGGCGCCUUCCACUCCUCCAACUAGUGCCCUCCCCACCAUGCCUCCUUCCCAGGACCCAGGCCUGCUGCCCAGGAACCCUCCAGACCUCGCAGAGAGUGAGUAAAGUAUGACUUGCAACUUGUCUGCUGUGGGUCUUUGAUCUCCCCUGGCAGCUGGGGUGUGUGUAUAUGCGUGCGCACGCGCGUGUGUGUAUGUGAUAGAAAUAAGAAUUGCCAAGUAUCUGGGCUAGGAAUAGGGCAACAGAACCCUUAGGGAGUCUUAUGGUUCUCUGCAGCUGCUUAGCUCUUAACUGUGUGAG